rnacentral:rRNA from 1 species
UACGAAGGGGGCUAGCGUUGUUCGGAAUUACUGGGCGUAAAGCGCACGCAGGCGGAUUUAUAAGUCAGGGGUGAAAUCCCGGGGCUCAACCUCGGAAUUGCCCUUGAUACUGUCUAUCUUGAGUCCGGGAGAGGUGAGUGGAAUUCCUAGUGUAGAGGUGAAAUUCGUAGAUAUUAGGAAGAACACCAGUGGCGAAGGCGGCUCACUGGCCCGGUACUGACGCUCAUGUGAGAAAGCGUGGGGAGCAAACAGG